CGAAUACUCAACUGGAAAUGUAAAUCAUCAGGUCAGACAUUUUGCAUUUAUACAAACGAUCAGGCUAGAGCAGUUCACCCCAUGAGCUCACCUCCUUCGCUGAACACAGGUGGCAGUAUUUACUACAUUUAUUUUUAGAUUCUAAUAUCCACCACCAGCCAGAUCCAACAAUGAUCCAGCGGCUUCUUGGGCCUCAGCAUCGAGCUGCAAAAUCUCUACAGUCUCCAGGUCCAGCUGAUGGUCACCGGGUAGCACCAGCGUGGAGCCAUGUGAAAAAAUCCACGAUAACCAACGGGUUUGGAAAGGCUGGACUGCUGCGUGAUGAAGAGGACAGCACACGCGUAAGGGAGAAUUUGCCUGGAGCCGACGUAGAUUAAAUGCCUGUACAUGAGUGAAAUUACUUUAUUGAAAUGGUUGAAUAAAGAGAUGCGCUGGACAUGAACUGUUUGUUUCGGCGGGUAUUUUAUGUAAAUUAGCUUUGUGACGUUAGGUUUUCUUUUUGUGUGCAAAGAUGCAUUAAAAACAUAAUCUCAAAAGGGCUGAUAUCGCUCUAUAGUAGUUCUGGUGCUUACGAGGGCCAAAUGCUUACAUUUGAACCACUUUUAAUAUUACCAUUAUCUUACUCGAGGCUGUACUUGAACUGAAUAGACAGAUCA